AAUUUUGGACAAUGGGCGCAAGCCUGAUCCAGCCAUGCCGCGUGAGUGAAGAAGGCCUUCGGGUUGUAAAGCUCUUUCGGACGGAAAGAAAUCGCGCAGGCUAAUACCCUGCGCUGAUGACGGUACCAUCAUAAGAAGCACUGGCUAACGACGCGCCAGCCGCCGCGGUAAUACGUACGGUGCGAGCGUUAAUCGGAAUUACUGUGCGUAAAGCGUGCGAAGGAGGUGUAUUAAGACAGGCGUGAAAUCCCCGGGCUUAACCUGGGAACUGCGCUUGUGACUGGUCAGCUAGAGUACGGCAGAGGGGGGUGGAAUUCCACGUGUAGCAGUGAAAUGCGUAGAGAUGUGGAGGAACACCGAUGGCGAAGGCAGCCCCCUGGGCCGAUACUGACGCUCAUGCACAAAAGCGUGGGUAGCAAACAGG
rnacentral:rRNA from 1 species